GCUUACCAUGCAAGUCGAACGAUGAAUCCCAGCUUGCUGGGUGGAUUAGUGGCGAACGGGUGAGUAACACGUGAGUAACCUGCCCUCGACUCCAGGAUAAGCCCGGGAAACUGGGUCUAAUACUGGAUAUUCAAUUUCUGCCGCAUGGUGGUUUUUGGAAAGGAUUCUGGUCGAGGAGGGACUCGCGGCCUAUCAGCUUGUUGGUGAGGUAAUGGCUCACCAAGGCGACGACGGGUAGCCGGCCUGAGAGGGUGACCGGCCACACUGGGACUGAGACACGGCCCAGACUCCUACGGGAGGCAGCAGUGGGGAAUAUUGCACAAUGGGCGAAAGCCUGAUGCAGCGACGCCGCGUGAGGGAUGACGGCCUUCGGGUUGUAAACCUCUUUCAGUAGGGAAGAAGCGAAAGUGACGGUACCUGCAGAAGAAGCGCCGGCUAACUACGUGCCAGCAGCCGCGGUAAUACGUAGGGCGCAAGCGUUAUCCGGAAUUAUUGGGCGUAAAGAGCUCGUAGGCGGUUUGUCGCGUCUGCCGUGAAAGUCCGGGGCUUAACUCCGGAUCUGCGGUGGGUACGGGCAGACUAGAGUGCUGUAGGGGAGACUGGAAUUCCUGGUGUAGCGGUGAAAUGCGCAGAUAUCAGGAGGAACACCGAUGGCGAAGGCAGGUCUCUGGGCAGUAACUGACGCUGAGGAGCGAAAGCAUGGGGAGCGAACAGGAUUAGAUACCCUGGUAGUCCAUGCCGUAAACGUUGGGCACUAGAUGUGGGGGACAUUCCACGUUUUCCGCGUCGUAGCUAACGCAUUAAGUGCCCCGCCUGGGGAGUACGGCCGCAAGGCUAAAACUCAAAGGAAUUGACGGGGGCCCGCACAAGCGGCGGAGCAUGCGGAUUAAUUCGAUGCAACGCGAAGAACCUUACCAAGGCUUGACAUGGACCGGAUCGGGCUAGAAAUAGUCUUUCCCUUCGGGGCUGGGUUCACAGGUGGUGCAUGGUUGUCGUCAGCUCGUGUCGUGAGAUGUUGGGUUAAGUCCCGCAACG
rnacentral:rRNA from 1 species